CCCUUAGAUGUUCUGGGCCGCACGCGCGCUACACUGACGAAGUCAGCGAGCAUGUCCUACGCCGACAGGUGCGGGGAAUCUUGUCAAACUUCGUCGUGAUGGGGAUUGAUUUUUGAAAUUCUUGAUCAUAAACGAGGAAUUCCUAGUAAGCGCAAGUCAGCAGCUUGCGUUGAUUACGUCCCUGCCCUUUGUACACACCGCCCGUCGCUACUACCGAUUGAAUGGCUUAGUGAGAUCUUCGGAUUGGCGCCACUGCAGCUCAGCAAUGGGCUUGGUGGAUGCCGAAAAGUUGAUCAAACUUGAUCAUUUAGAGGAAGUAAAAGUCGUAACA
rnacentral:rRNA from 1 species